UACGUAGGGUGCAAGCGUUGUCCGGAAUCAUUGGGCGUAAAGCGCGCGUAGGUGGCUUCGUAAGUCCGUUGUGAAAGUCAAAGGCUCAACCUUUGAAUGCCGAUGGAUACUGCGAAGCUAGAGUACGGAAGAGGCGAGUGGAAUUCCUGGUGUAGCGGUGGAAUGCGCAGAGUAUCGAGGAGGAACACCAAUAGCGAAGGCAGACUCGCUGGGACGUUACUGACACUAAGGCGCGAAAGCGUGGGAGCGAACGAG
rnacentral:rRNA from 1 species